AACGAACGCUGGCGGCAUGCCUAACACAUGCAAGUCGAACGAACCCUUCGGGGUUAGUGGCGCACGGGUGCGUAACGCGUGGGAAUCUGCCCUUUGCUUCGGAAUAACAGUUAGAAAUGACUGCUAAUACCGGAUGAUGUCUUCGGACCAAAGAUUUAUCGGCAAGGGAUGAGCCCGCGUAGGAUUAGGUAGUUGGUGGGGUAAAGGCCUACCAAGCCGACGAUCCUUAGCUGGUCUGAGAGGAUGAUCAGCCACACUGGGACUGAGACACGGCCCAGACUCCUACGGGAGGCAGCAGUGGGGAAUAUUGGACAAUGGGCGCAAGCCUGAUCCAGCAAUGCCGCGUGAGUGAUGAAGGCCUUCGGGUUGUAAAGCUCUUUCGCCAGGGAAGAUAAUGACGGUACCUGGAAAAGAAGCCUCGGCUAACUCCGUGCCAGCCGCCGCGGUAACAC
rnacentral:rRNA from 1 species